CCCAUGGGUCCCCUUCCACACUGUGGAAGCUUUGUUCUUUCACUCUUUUCAAUAAAUCUUGCUGCUUCUCACUCUUUGGGUCCGCACUGCCUUUAUGAGCUGUAACACUCACCACGAAGGUCUGUAGCUUCACUCCUGAGGCCAGUGAGACUAGAAACCCACCAGAAGGAAGAAGCUCCAAACACGUCAGAACAUCAGAAGGAACAAACUCCGGACGCCCCUUUAAGAACUGUAACGCUCACCGGGAGGGUCCGCAGCCUCAUUCUUGAAGUCAGUGAGACCAAGAACCCACCAAUUCCAGACACAGCAGUUCUCAAGCAAAGACCGAUGAGAGUUAGUGUCUAAAUUCCCUGGCUCCCUUGGCGCUCAGACACCAUAAUUAAAUCCUUAUCUCAGGCUCCACUUCUGGGGAGACCAGCAUUAAGAUAGCAGAAGAGUAACCUUGGCUGCUAUGAGAAAUUCCUCAUACCACAAGAAAAGAAGCACUGAAAAGUGAACAAUUAACUUCUCUUGAAUACAAUGAGUAUAACACUCUCAAGAAUAGUGGGAUCUUCUUAUGAGACUGCUGACAGAUGAAAGAUGAGAUUCUAUGACGUUUAUUAAAAUGAAGAAUUACAGGGGAAUAUACAGAAAAACAGAGUUAACUUCUUCCUCAUAGGAAUUCUCCUCCUCAUUGUUAGAAUAUAUUGUCUUUUUUAUAUAACUGUCUUCUAUGGGAGGAAUGAACAGGUGUCUUUGGGACAUACAUACUUUCUAUGCCUCAAAUCUUCAUGUAUAAAAGUGAGGGAAAACUCGUUGUGUAAAUGAAGUAUCUCAUCCUGUCUGUGGCAUAAAGUUUUUCCAUAUGCUGAUGUUUGUACUCAGGGCCAGUUUCGAGGGCAUGUGACAGACGGCCCUGCACUUGGUUUGAUACUCUGCUGUCACUACCUUGAAAUUCUUAAUAAUUGUGAACAAGACACCCCACAUUUUUAUUUUGCACCAGAUCCUGGAAAUUAUGAACCCGGUCCCAUUUGUAUUAAUUAAAAACUCUUUGAAGUACGAAUUUUCAUGAUACAAGCAAGAGAAGUCAGGUUAAAAGAAUGGUAAGAGGAAGAGCAAAGUAGCUUUCAGGAAAACUAGAUCCAACAAAAGCUGGAGUUUCUAGAAACUUCUGGCAGUUAUGAAAGAUUUGCUGCAGAGAGAGUGGGAGGAAAGCCGUGGUAUCAGGACGUUCUGUACUACUUCUGAAAUGUACAUAUGCAGAGGAGCAGGCACAGAUGGGAUGGCUAAGACAGCAAGUUUGACUUGGAGCCAGCAGGGAAAGUUCAAGUGACCCAGGAAAUUAGAAGCAAAAAGAAUGAGCCACUUGAACUAGCUGUUCUGCAUUAGGCAAACAAACAGAUUCUGUUCCUGAUUGUUCCUGAUGAUAUCCAGCAUUUACCAAACAUUUACUCUGUACCUGGAACUGUUAAAAAGGGACUUAUAGUCAUCUCAUUUAAUCUGACAACAACCCUUUAAGGCAUGUGCUAUUAUUGUUCCUAUACCACCAGUGAAGAAAGCUAGGACAAAAUAAGAUUAAAUCAUUGCCCAGGGCACCUAGCAAGUGCUGGAGCCUGGACUUUAACCCUGACAGACUGUGGAGCCCAAACUCUUAAUUAUGACAUAUAGCUCCCCUACCAAGUAAAAUGGCUCUCCACUCUAAAAGGCAUGAUGGAGCAGAUAUUGUGCGGAAAGGACCCCAGUGGAGAAGUGAAAAGAGAAAGGCUGUGUCCCUGUGGUGCAAUCCUUUGUGGAGCAAAGUUCCCCAUUUCUUCAGGGGUAGGGGUUAGGGUGGGGGCAACCAAACAUAAACAUCCACAGACCUUGGGGAGCCCACACGGGGUUUUCCUGGACCCAUUUUGCUUCACAAGCACAUUUUCCAUGGAUUUUCAUUAGGCUGUGUCAGAGUGUCAGUGGUCUUCAAACUGUUCUACUGAUCCCUUGGUUCAACUUUUGUAGCUCAACUGUCUUCCACAAUGAGAGGGAACUGAAUGGAGGGGCUCAGGCUCCUGCUUCACUUGCACAGCUUCCCUUUCACUUAUUUUCAUCUGAAUAUAGGGAUUAUGGAUAAAAAUUUGUUUGCAAAAAGAAGAUGAGGUUCUACAGCUAAAAAUACACUAUAAAAACCAUUGCUCUGGGCAGUCACUUCAACUGGGAGAAGACGAAUAAGCUGUAGGCAGAUCACAGGGCUCUUGCACACACAUUCCUCCCUCUCCUCCCCCAAACACAACUCAGAUUCAACCUGGGUCAGUGAAGAAAGGCUAAUACUGGUAUUUGGUGUUUGUAGAAUCUUGGGCAGAAAGUAUUUGAAUCUUCUCUAUGCCACAGACUUGUUCACUAACUGUGAGUUUGUUUCUCACUUAAGAACAGUUUUUAAACAUACAGUGUUUUCAUCAGGAAAAUAUAUAUAUAUAUUUGCAGGGUCAAUUCAGACGCCUUUACAAUAAUAGUGGUUCUGACCUUCCUUUCAGGUAGGAGCCAGAAUUAAUUGUUCUUUCCUCUGCUUUCCUGCAGCAACCAACAAUUAUUUGAAUAUCUAUCAAGUGUAAAACAGGGUGAUCCUGCCCUCAAAGGACUCACCGUCUAGUAGUAAAAGGACCUAAAUAAUUCCUGUGCCUGUCAUGACGAUGGUCACUUUCUACCUCAUGUUACAGAGGCAAUAGGAAGUGCAGACAGCUGAAGGACAUGGAAAAAAAAAUUGAUGGAAGAAUGGCAGCCAGGUUUGGCCUUAAAGAAACUGCAUUUCCCUAGGUGGAUGUGUAAUUAGUUUUCCAAGAGAAGAUGAUAUAAUAGCUACACAAAGGUAGCAAUAGCAUAAACAAAUCCUACAAACCUUGAAAAGUCACCUUUGAGGAUAGGAACCUGGUUUUCUAAUAUUUCCCUUGAGGCCUCUCUCAUCUCACAUGCUCUUCAAAAUCUGGACCUAUGCGUCAAGUUUCAUAGACUAAUGAUUCAGAUGAUCCUCUGUAUAAUUCAGUUCAAGUUUGGUGAUGAAGGCACACCUUCCUAUACAUAUAAUUCUAAUAAAAGUAUGUGUCAGCAGGAAGUGUUGGUGAACAGACAAAUUUCUUCCGUCCCGCUUCAGCAAAUGGCCUUAUGGGAUAAACUAAAGCCUAACUAGAAAAUACACAUUUAAAAUUUUCUAAAACAUCCAGGAUUAGAAACGUGUGUUCCUACCUCUUGUUUACCAGUUCAUUCAGGGGUUAAGAACAUAACUGUUACUAAAGCAAACCAUUGCACAAAACUUUGACUUGCUAAUUGGCAACAUUCCUUCAGAUUAUAGGAACUAGAAAAGAAACAAAGUGUAAUUUAAGACAUUUCAGCUCUAAAACUGUUGCUAUGUUUUUAUCUCUUGGACCAUACAUUUUUUUCUCCUUUUAAAAAUUGGAUUAUAGCAAUAAAAUUUACAUAACAUAAACUUUACCAUCAAACCUGUUUUAAAUUUAAAAAAAAAAAUCCUUGAGGUGCAAAAUGUGAGUAUUGAGGCUCUUGAAAUUUCCUUUUCAAUUUGUAGCUUUUGUUUCUCUUAGUAAGACAUAAAAUACUAGGCUAUUUCAGAGCCUCCUGUCCCCUCACCCCCUAAUAUUAGAGUGCAUUUCCUUGGCCCUUUUAAUCCUAAAUUACCCUCUUUAUAGCAAGGAGUAAAACUUAUUAACCAAUCACUACAAAACGUAACAACACAACCUUAAGAAUGGUUUUAGAUAUCCAACCAGUUGUACUUCUUGAGUUAGGUUACAAAUUAUGUUAUUUAAGGUAAUUUUGGGUGUCGGGCCUCUGAGCCCAAGCUAAGCCAUCAUAUCCCCUGUGACCUGCACCUAUACAUCCAGAUGGCCUGAAGCAACUGAAGAUUCACAAAUGAAGUGAAAAUAGCCAGUUCCUGCCUUAACUGAUGACAUCCCACCAUUGCGAUUUGUUCCUGCCUCACCCUAACUGAUCAAUUGACUUUGUGACAAUACACCCUCUCCACCCUUGAGAAGUUACUUUGUAAAAUCCUCCCCACCCAAUCAAGAAGGUACUUUGUAAUAUCCUCCCCACCCUUGAGAAUGUACUUUGUAAGAUCCACCCCCUGCCCACAAAAAAAUUGCUCCUAACUCCACCGCCUAUCCCAAACCUAUAAGAACUAAUGAUAAUCCCACCACCCUUUGCUGACUCUCUUUUCAGACUCAGCCCACUUGCACCCAGGUGAUUAAAAAGUUUUACUGCUCACACAAUGCCUAUUUGGUGGUCUCUUCACAUGGACGCGCACAACAUUGGGAUUCCAAGACAUGUCCCAAAUCUUCAUUUAAAGUUAAGAGUGGCAACUCUCCACACAAAUACUUACUGGCAUUGUUCAAAGUCCAGUCAGAGACUUUUCACAAAGGGAAGGAAGAUGUUGCCCCUACGUGAGGAACUCUGUUAACAACUAAAGCAGCAUGAGGUCAAGACAGGAGUUUGGCAGGCUUGGUUUUACAAGGUACAGGUCAGAAAGAACCCUCUGAUAAAACAAGAUGCAGUAAAAAAAGCUGGCCAAAACCCACCAAAACCAAGAUGGUGGCAAAAGUGACCUCUGGUCAUCCUCACUGCUUAUCUGCUAAUUAUAGUAUAUUACCAUGCUAAAAGACACUCCCACCAGCACCAUGACAGUGUAUAAAUGCCAUGGGAAUGUUCAGAAGCUACUCUGUAUGGUCUAAAGAGGGGAGGAACCCUCAGUUCCUGGAAUUCCCCACCCCUUUCCCAGAAAACUCAUGAAAAUCCACCCCUUGUUUAGCAUAUGUUCAAAAAUAACCAUAAAAAUAGCCAACCAGCAGCCCUCAGGGCUACUCUGCCUAUGGAGUAGCCAUUCUUUUAUUCCUUUACUUUCCUUUACUUUCUUAAUAAACUUGUUUUCACUUUACUCUGUCCACUUGCCCUUGGCUCUUGAAUUCCUUCCUUCAUGAAGCCAAUAACCCCAAUGGACUCCCAGGCUGAACCCCAAUUCUGGAGUUAACCCUGUGACAUCAUUUCUGGUAACACAAAGGGACAAUGGAGACCUCCCCUUGGACUCCAAAUUAAGACUGAUCAGCACCAUUCAGACCUGACAGAUGGGCAUGUCUCCUUUUGUCCAGAUUCAACUCACUAUCCUUUUUUAUCUUCUAUUUUGGCUCCUCUGUCCUUUCCUGUAUUCUUUAUUUUGGACAGAUGGAGAAGUGGCCACGAGACUUCUAGCUUGAUAGCCUGUUUGCAGUCUCCCAUUGUCUGGGUGCCCCAUAGCAGCACACCUGGCCAACCAUGUUCUUUAUAACCCCCUUUGUCACCUCUUCUCUCCAACCGUUUCUCUUUAGUUUCUAACAACCAGCCAUUUUACUUUUCUCCUCUCAGUGCCAAAAUGCUUGCUUAUGCUCAUGUCAUUGUGGCAUUUAUUGUCUUCUUUUGCUAUUUGGGCAAUUGUUUAAGGAAGGAUGCUUUCUUGUGAGAGGUCCCCCAUUCUAUUGACCCUAGGAUGCGAGAGUCAUGUUGUUCUGUGGCCCCAGUUGUGUUAGGUCUCGUGCCUCUGGUGUUUGCUGUUGGCCACCCUGGAGAUGCUCUAGGGUUUUUGGCAUUUGGUGUGAGGAUCUUCACUGGCUGAUACUUGGGUAUUUUGGGCUUUUCGGCAUUUGGUUCUGUUUACUGCCCCCGAAAUGCUCUGUGGUGUUUGGCAUUGGCAUUCUCUCUAGGAUUGUGGGUUACAGUCCCACCCUAGGGGAAUCUUAGUUUUGCCUUUCCUUGUUUUCUACCCUAAAGUUUUCAUUUUUCUGUAACAGUAUUUUCUUUUCUUAUUGUCUCUUUAUUUAAUGCUUUGCUAUAGGAGGUGAAAAUUUGCAGGGGAAAAUAGCUGGGUUCUUGAAAGACUUAGAAAAACUUCUAUAUCUAGCAGAGAUCCUUGUUAGACAUGGGGACAAUGGUGAAUCCCAAAGGACUUGUCACUAAGGUGCCUUUUAAGCAAUUGGAGCAAAUUCAAAUGAGAAACAAGUUUAGCUAGGUACUGAAGGAACAUACCUCAAAAUAAUGAGACAUCUAUGACAAACCCACAGCCAACAUUAUACUGAAUGGGUAAAAGCUGGAAGCAUUCACCUUGAAAACCUGUACAAGACAAGGAUACCUUCUCUCACCACUUCUAUUUGACACAGUAUUGGAAGUCUUGGCCAGAGCAAUCAGGCAAGAGAGAGAAAUAAAGGGCAUCCAAAUAGGAAGAGAGGAAGUCAAACUAUCCCUGUUUGCAGAUGACAUGAUCCUAUACCUAGAAAACCACAUAAUCUCAGCCCAAAAGCUUCUUGAGCUGAUAAACAACUUCAGGAAAGACACAGGUUACCAAAUCAAUGUGCAAAAAUCACUAGCAUUCCUAUACUCCAACAACUGUCAAACCAAAAGCCAAAUCAGGAAUGUAAUCCCAUUCCCAACUGCCACACACACACAUACUACACACACAGUACCUAGGAAUACAGCUAACCAGGAAGGUGAAAGAUUUCUACAAGGAGACCUACAAGAUACUGCUCAGAGAAAUCAGAGGUCACACAAACAAAUGGAAACACAUUUCAGGCUCACGGAUAGGAAGAAUCAAUAUCGUUAAAAUGGUCAUACUGCCCAAAGCAAUUGAUAGAUUCAAUGCUAUUCCUAUUAAACUACCAAGGACAUUCUUCACAGAACUAGAAAAAACUUCUAAAAUUCAUAUGGAACCAAAAAAAGAGUCCAAAUAGCCAAGGCAAUCCUAAACAAAGUGAAAAAACCUGGAGGCAUCAUGUUACCCAACUUCAAACUAUACUACAGGGCUACAGUAACCAAAACAGCAUGGUACUGGUACAAAAACAGACACAUAGGCCAAUGGAACAGAAUAGAGAAGCAAGAAAUAAGGCAGCAUGCCUACAACUAUCUGAUCUUCAACAAAACUGACAAAAACAAGCAAUGGAAAAAGGACUCCCUAUUCAAUAAAUGGUACUGGGAUAACUGGUAAGCCAUAUGCAGAAGACUGAAACUGGACCCCUUCCUUACACCUUAUAAAAAAACUAAUUCAACAUGGAUUAAAGACUUCAAUGUAAAACUCAAAGCUAUAAAAACCUGGAAGAAAAUACAAGCAAUACCAUUCUGGAAUGGACAAGGAUUUCAUGUUGAAGAUGCCAAAAGCAAUUGCAACAAAAGCAAAAAUUGACAAGUGGGAUCUAACUAAACUAAAGAGCUUCAGCACAGCAAAAGAAACUAUCAACAGAGUAAACAGACAGCCUACAUAAUGGGAGAAAAUUUUUGCAAUCUAUGCCUCUGACAAAGGUCUAAUAUCCAGCAUCUAUAAUAAACUUACAAGAAAAAAACCAAACAAUCCCACUAAAAAGUGGGCAAAGGGCUAGGCAUGGUGGCUCAUGCCUGUAAUCCCAGUGAGAGGUGACAGCAUGCUGGCAGUCCUC
rnacentral:lncRNA from 10 species